UUUUAAUUAAAAACUAGAAKGAAAGGUUAUACAUUCAAAUUUCUUUAUUAAUUUUUAAUAAAUAAUUUAUAUUAAAUAUAAAAAUAUAUUUAUAAAAAAAAAAGACGACAAGACCCUAUUAAAUUUUACUUAUAGUUUAGCUGGGGAAGCUUUUCAAUUAAAAUUUUUUAAAUUAAAUAAAUAAAAAUCUAAUAAAAUUAAAAUUUUAAUAAAUUACUAUAGGGAUAACAGCAUUAUAUUUUUUAAAAGUUCAUAUUAAAAAAAAUGAUUGUGACCUCGAUGUUGAAUUAUAUUUUCUAUAUUAAAUGCAAUAAUUAUAAAAGUAGAUCUGUUCGAUCUUUAAAAUAUUACAUGAUUUGAGUUCAAACCGGUGUAAACCAGGUUGGUUUCUAUCUUUUUAUAUAUUUUUCCAGUACGAAAGGACAAAAAAAUUUUUAUUUUAAUAAAUUAGCAAAUAAAUGCAUUAGAUUUAGAAUCUAAAUAUAUUUAAUAAUU
rnacentral:misc_RNA from 1 species